CUGUAGACCAGGUUGGCUUAGAACUCAC
rnacentral:piRNA from 1 species